rnacentral:snRNA from 1 species
CUUACUCCGUGAAUCGGAG